UCCGCCCGCUGGCGGCGUGCUUAACACAUGCAAGUCGAACGGAAAGGCCCUGCUUGUAGGGUACUCGAGUGGCGAACGGGUGAGUAACACGUGGGUGAUCUGCCCUGCACUUCGGGAUAAGCCUGGGAAACUGGGUCUAAUACCGGAUAGGAGCCAUUUUUAGUGUGAUGGUUGGAAAGUUUUUUCGGUGUAGGAUGAGCUCGCGGCCUAUCAGCUUGUUGGUGGGGUAAUGGCCUACCAAGGCGGCGACGGGUAGCCGGCCUGAGAGGGUGGACGGCCACAUUGGGAAUGGAAUACGGCCCAGACUCCUACGGGAGGCAGCAGUGGGGAAUAUUGCACAAUGGGCGCAAGCCUGAUGCAGCGACGCCGCGUGGGGGAUGACGGCCUUCGGGUUGUAAACUCCUUUCGCUAGGGACGAAGCUUUUUGUGACGGUACCUAGAUAAGAAGCACCGGCUAACUACGUG
rnacentral:rRNA from 1 species